UUAAUUAUACUGCCUGACAUUUCUCCGCUUACGCCUCAACGACUGGUACUGAGUGGCAGGCGUGGCAUGAGCUAUAAUCUGCUCCAUAGCAAUGUAUAAAGGAGUACCUGCAAGCUCUGAAUUCUGUUCAAUGGAAGUAAUUGCCAGGUCCUUGAUUCUGCACAUGGCAGUCAAUGGAUCAACACCAUGUUCCUCGUGUAACAGAACCUCAAUAUUAGCAGGCCUCGGCGGAUUAUUAGGAACAUCAGGUAUCAAUUUAGGGUGAGAGACCUUAUAGAACCACACCAAGUAUCCAUCCUCUGACUGCCAAUCAGUUUCCACUAGUUGCCCACGAUCUUCUUCAGAUAUCAGAUGCAUAUUAUAAUCCUGAAAAGCCUGUUCCAUCUGAUAAAUACUC
rnacentral:lncRNA from 1 species